rnacentral:rRNA from 1 species
CCUACGUGGGGCAGCAGUGAGGAAUAUUGGUCAAUGGGCGCGAGCCUGAACCAGCCAAGUAGCGUGAAGGAUGACUGCCCUACGGGUUGUAAACUUCUUUUAUAAAGGAAUAAAGUGAGGCACGUGUGCCUUUUUGUAUGUACUUUAUGAAUAAGGAUCGGCUAACUCCGUGCCAGCAGCCGCGGUAAUACGGAGGAUCCGAGCGUUAUCCGGAUUUAUUGGGUUUAAAGGGAGCGUCGAUGGGUUGUUAAGUCAGUUGUGAAAGUUUGCGGCUCAACCGUAAAAUUGCAAGUGAUACUGGCAGUCUUGAGUACAGUUGAGGUAGGCGGAAUUCGUGGUGUAGCGGUGAAAUGCUUAGAUAUCACGAAGAACUCCGAUUGCGAAGGCAGCUUACUAAACUGCCACUGACAUUGAUGCUCGAAAGUGUGGGUAUCAAACAGGAGUAGAUACCCCAGUAGUC